ensembl:lncRNA LINC02096 long intergenic non-protein coding RNA 2096
GGUAACUUGGUUGGGUGUUCUUCUCUGCUGUGUAGGCUUUGUUCUUUUGCUCUUUGCAGUAAAUGUUGCUGCUGCUGACUGUUGGGUCCCAGCCGUCUUUAAAAGCUAUUACACUCACGGUGAAGGUCUGUGGUUUCACUCCUGAAAUCAAGCGAGUGUACGAACCCACCGGAAGGAAGAAACUCCAGACUCCGAAGGAACAAACUCUGGACACACCAAAUGUAAGAAUUGUAACACUCACCGCGACGGUCCGUGGCGUCCACCCUCGCAGCUUCUUUCUUGAAGUCGCCGAGACCAAGAGCGCACCGAAAGGAACCAAUUGUGGACACAUCCGUUUUGUUAAUUUCCCUUGGAAAAGUAUUGAUGAUCAAGUGAUGCUAGCAGCAACAGUGUUAAAGGCUUUAACGCUUUUAAAGGUGAGACUUUUGGGAGUUGAUUAGGUCAUGAGGAUGGAGCCUGGUGAAUGGGAUCAGUGAAAGAGGCCUGAUGUGAGUCCCAGUACGCUGAAAGGACAAGUUUCUAAACUUGUCAGGCUAAGAACCAAACCCUGGACCAGAGUAAAUUCACCCAAAAACUCCACCUGACAAGGCCUUGUGGAUGACUGACAUUCCUGCAUGCCCCUGACAAUGCUCCAACCUCACCCAACAUUUUCUCCUUUGCGUGUCUACAGAUGCCUUAUGUUUGCUAUGGGUCAGAUGUCUGUCAUUAUGGAAACUCUCAGUAAAUUCAAGUUGACUUGAACUUGACUCAA